rnacentral:rRNA from 1 species
AACGAACGCUGGCGGCACGCUUAACACAUGCAAGUCGAACGGCAGCGGCACCUUCGGGUGGCCGGCGAGUGGCGAACGGGUGAGUAACACGUGGAGACCUGCCCUAGGGUACGGGACAACAGUUGGAAACGACUGCUAAUACCGUAUACGUCCUACGGGAGAAAGAUUUAUUGCCCUUGGAGGGGUCCGCGUCGGAUUAGCUAGUUGGUAGGGUAAAGGCCUACCAAGGCUACGAUCCGUAGCUGUUCUUAGAGGAAGAUCAGCCACACUGGAACUGAGACACGGUCCAGACUCCUACGGGAGGCAGCAGUGGGGAAUAUUGCGCAAUGGGGGAAACCCUGACGCAGCGACGCCGUGUGAGUGAUGAAGGCUUUCGGGUCGUAAAGCUCUGUCAAAUGGGAAGAA